rnacentral:rRNA from 1 species
AUUGAACGUUGGCGGCAUGCUUUACACAUGCAAGUCGAACGGUAACAGGCCUUCGGGUGCUGACGAGUGGCGAACGGGUGAGUAAUGCAUCGGAACGUACCCAGAGGUGGGGGAUAACGCAGCGAAAGCUGUGCUAAUACCGCAUGUGAUCUGAGGAUGAAAGCGGGGGACCGAGCAGCAAUGUUUGGCCUCGCGCCUUUGGAGCGGCCGAUGUCGGAUUAGCUAGUUGGUGGGGUAAAGGCCUACCAAGGCGACGAUCCGUAGCUGGUCUGAGAGGACGACCAGCCACACUGGGACUGAGACACGGCCCAGACUCCUACGGGAGGCAGCAGUGGGGAAUUUUGGACAAUGGGCGCAAGCCUGAUCCAGCAAUGCCGCGUGCGGGAAGAAGGCCUUCGGGUUGUAAACCGCUUUUGGCAGGAACGAAACGGUGUCCGCUAAUACCGGGCGCUAAUGACGGUACCUGCAGAAUAAGCACCGGCUAACUACGUG